rnacentral:rRNA from 1 species
GACGAACGCUGGCGGCGUGCCUAAUACAUGCAAGUCGAACGCAGUGGGGACGGGUGAGUAACACGUGGGUAACCUCCCAUCAGAGGGGAUAACACUUGGAAACAGGUGCUAAACCGAUACUGAUGGAUGGACCCGGGGGGCAGUAGCUAGUUGGUGAGGUAACGGCUCACCAAGGCCACGAUGCAUAGCCGGCCUGAUAGGGUGAUCAGCCACACUGGGACUGAGACACGGCCCAGACUCCUACGGGAGGCAGCAGUGGGGAAUCUUCGGCAAUGGGCGAAAGUCUGACCCAGCAAUGCCGCGUGAGUGAAGAAGGUUUUCGGAUUGUAAAGCACUUUUGUUGGGGAGGCGGUACCUAACCAAAAAGCCACGGCUAACUACGUGCCAGCCGCCGCGGUAAUAC